rnacentral:rRNA from 1 species
UACGUAGGCAGCGAGCGUUGUUCGGAAUUACUGGGCGUAAAGAGUGUGUAGGCGGUGCUCUAAGUUCGGUGUGAAAUCUCCCGGCUUAACUGGGAGGGUGCGCCGGAAACUGGAGUGCUCGAGCGUGGGAGAGGAAAGCGGAAUUCCUGGUGUAGCGGUGAAAUGCGUAGAUAUCAGGAGGAACACCUGCGGUGUAGACGGCUUUCUGGACCAUUGCUGACGCUGAGGAGCGAAAGUGUGGGGAGCGAACAGG